rnacentral:rRNA from 1 species
GAUGAACGCUGGCGGCGUGCCUAAUACAUGCAAGUCGAGCGAACGGACGAGAAGCUUGCUUUUCUGAUGUUAGCGGCGGACGGGUGAGUAACACGUGGAUAACCUACCUAUAAGACUGGGAUAACUUCGGGAAACCGGAGCUAAUACCGGAUAAUAUUUUGAACCGCAUGGUUCAAAAGUGAAAGACGGUCUUGCUGUCACUUAUAGAUGGAUCCGCGCUGCAUUAGCUAGUUGGUAAGGUAACGGCUUACCAAGGCAACGAUGCAUAGCCGACCUGAGAGGGUGAUCGGCCACACUGGAACUGAGACACGGUCCAGACUCCUACGGGAGGCAGCAGUAGGGAAUCUUCCGCAAUGGGCGAAAGCCUGACGGAGCAACGCCGCGUGAGUGAAGAAGGUCUUCGGAUCGUAAAACUCUGUUAUUAGGGAAGAACAUAUGUGUAAGUAACUGUGCACAUCUUGACGGUACCUAAUCAGAAAGCAACGGCUAACUACGUG